rnacentral:rRNA from 1 species
GAUGAACGCUGGCGGCGUGCCUAAUACAUGCAAGUCGAGCGGACGGACGAGAAGCUUGCUUCUCUGAUGUUAGCGGCGGACGGGUGAGUAACACGUGGAUAACCUACCUAUAAGACUGGGAUAACUUCGGGAAACCGGAGCUAAUACCGGAUGAUAUUUUGAACCGCAUGGUUCAAAAGUGAAAGACGGUCUUGCUGUCACUUAUAGAUGGAUCCGCGCUGCAUUAGCUAGUUGGUGAGGUAACGGCUUACCAAGGCAACGAUGCAUAGCCGACCUGAGAGGGUGAUCGGCCACACUGGAACUGAGACACGGUCCAGACUCCUACGGGAGGCAGCAGUAGGGAAUCUUCCGCAAUGGGCGAAAGCCUGACGGAGCAACGCCGCGUGAGUGAUGAAGGUCUUCGGAUCGUAAAACUCUGUUAUUAGGGAAGAACAUAUGUGUAAGUAACUGUGCACAUCUUGACGGUACCUAAUCAGAAAGCCACGGCUAACUACGUG